UUUGGAUAGGUGUAUACUAGUCUCUUUCUUUCCUUUCCCUGGUAUGGAAGGUAUAGGUCUAUAUAUACUUGGAAGAACCAGUCAAAUUCGGCAAAAUCCAUAUUAUAAUUUUCUUUGAUUUCUUAGAGAAACUGAGUUCCCCCAAUGCCCGGCAUACAGAGGAAGAUGAAGAGGGCAAGACGAAGACGUACAGGAGACGAGGUAAAGGGAUUUAAUUUCAAUUAUUAGAGUGUAAUGUAGAUGAUUAACUCUUUUCUGACGUCCAUUCUCAAUUCUGGCUACGUAGUACAUAUCCGAUGACGGUGAUUUUGGGGAGGACCUGCUUAGCGAGUUGCCGGAUGAAAUUCUUAUUUCAAUACUAUCUCGCCUAACCCUAAGGGAAGCUGCGGCUACCAGUGUUCUCUCACAGCGNN
rnacentral:lncRNA from 1 species